AAACCAGCACCUCAAGUGGUCAGGAGGAUUAUUGGGCCUAAAGCAUCCGUAGCCUGUUCUAUAAGUUUCCGGUUAAAUCCAUUAGCUUAACUAAUGGGCUGCCGAAAAUACUGUAGAACUAGGGAGUGGGAGAGGUAGACGGUAUUCGGUAGGAAGGGGUAAAAUCCUUUGAUCUAUUGAGGACCACCUGUGGCGAAGGCGGUCUACCAGAACACGUUCGACGGUGAGGGAUGAAAGCUGGGGGAGCAAACCGGAUUAGAAACCCGAGUAGUCC
rnacentral:rRNA from 1 species